AUUGAACGCUGGCGGCAGGCCUAACACAUGCAAGUCGAACGAGUGGCGGACGGGUGAGUAAUGUCUGGGAAACUGCCCGAUGGAGGGGGAUAACUACUGGAAACGGUAGCUAAUACCGCAUACCAUCGGAUGUGCCCAGAUGGGAUUAGCUAGUAGGUGGGGUAACGGCUCACCUAGGCGACGAUCCCUAGCUGGUCUGAGAGGAUGACCAGCCACACUGGAACCGAGACCCGUGCCAGACUCCGACGGGAGGCUGCAGUGGGGAACAUUGCAGAAUGGGUGGAAGCCUGAUGCAGCCAUGCCGCGUGUAUGAAGAAGGCCUUUGGGUUGCAAAGUACUUUCAGCGAGGAGGCGUUACUCGCAGGAGAAGCACCGGGUAACUCCGUGCCAGGAGCCGGGGUAAUUG
rnacentral:rRNA from 1 species